UGUAGGAGUGAGCCUGCUCGCGAUGGCGGUGGGUCAGUGACAUUUACUUCGACUGACACACUGCUAUCGCGAGCAGGCUCACUCCUACA
rnacentral:antisense_RNA from 1 species